rnacentral:rRNA from 1 species
GACGAACGCUGGCGGCGUGCUUAACACAUGCAAGCCGAACGGUAAGGCCCUGCUUUUGUGGGGUGCUCGAGUGGCGAACGGGUGAGUAACACGUGAGUAACCUGCCCUUGACUUUGGGAUAACUUCAGGAAACUGGGGCUAAUACCGGAUAGGAGCUCCUGCUGCAUGGUGGGGGUUGGAAAGUUUCGGCGGUUGGGGAUGGACUCGCGGCUUAUCAGCUUGUUGGUGGGGUAGUGGCUUACCAAGGCUUUGACGGGUAGCCGGCCUGAGAGGGUGACCGGCCACAUUGGGACUGAGAUACGGCCCAGACUCCUACGGGAGGCAGCAGUGGGGAAUAUUGCACAGUGGGCGGAAGCCUGAUGCAGCAACGCCGCGUGCGGGAUGACGGCCUUCGGGUUGUAAACCGCUUUCGCCUGUGACGAAGCGUGAGUGACGGUAAUGGGUAAAGAAGCACCGGCUAACUACGUG